rnacentral:snRNA from 1 species
AGCUUUGCACAGUGACAAUGUCAUAGCCAAUGAGGUUUAUUACUAGUUGAAAAAUUUCCCCAAUACCCUGCCGUGAUGACUUGAAAUAUAGGCAGCAUUGGCAAUUUUUGACAGCUCUAGGGAU